CCCCUCCUGACGAGCCAAACAGAAGCCUAACACCACGUGAGAGAGGCCUAUUGCAUCCACAUGUCGCAACUUGUAUAUAUCUUCUCAUUUAUAUCAUUCUUUAUCAGGCAACCCCGCCUGGGCAGGGUGACAAGCAAAGGAAGAGAAGAAUGUCUGAGUCACUGCCACCACCAAAAAAAGCCAGGAUUGGAAUGUUCCAAACUUUGGUACAAGAGCUCCGAGAGCUGGAUGAUGAGCAUCACCGCGGGUACUUCCGUAUGUCUGUUGCGAAGUUUGAUGAAUUGGUUUGUCGCAUCACUCCAUUUAUCACCCACGAGAGCAUCCAGAGCAUACCUGUUGGUAUCGAUGAGAGACUUGCACUGACUUUGCACUUCCUGGCACAUGGAAGCUUUCUGGAUACUCUAUCACUUGAUUACAGACUGGAACAGCGCACAAUAUCCAUGCUGAUUCCAGAGGUAUGCCAGGCCAUAUGGAAAAGUAUUCAGCCGGGCUUGGCAUUGGGCCUACCCAAGAAAGGCCGUGGAAAUCUCCAACGGUGGAGUGUUUUGAAGAGUGAUUAUUACAACACCACUGACAUUAAGAAGGCAUGUUUUGCUUUGAACACUUUCCUUAAGCACUGACGCCGCAAAAGCUGUUACAUUCCGCUCAACUUUACUUAGUGAUGAGGUCAGAUUUAUGUAUGCAAGAUGGGCGUAAUCUUUUCAUUUAGUCGUCUUUUAGUUAUAUUGCCCGUCUCAUAUCACAAGGUUGCCAAUGUUAUACAAAUGACAAUAGCGUACAAAUUGUACAAAAUAGGUUCUAAUAAACUUCUUGCCGAAA